rnacentral:rRNA from 1 species
GACGAACGCUGGCGGCGUGCUUAACACAUGCAAGUCGAACGGAAAGGCCCUGCUUUUGUGGGGUGCUCGAGUGGCGAACGGGUGAGUAACACGUGAGUAACCUGCCCUUGACUUUGGGAUAACUUCAGGAAACUGGGGCUAAUACCGGGUAUGAGCUCCUGCUGCAUGGGGGGGGUUGGAAAGUUUCGGCGGUGGGGGAUGUACUCGCGGCUUAUCAGCUUGUUGGUGUGGUAGUGGCUUACCAAGGCUUCGAAGGGUAGCCGGCCUGAGAGGGUGACCGGCCACAUUGGGACUGAGAUACGGCCCAGACUCCUACGGGAGGCAACAGUGGGGAAUAUUGCACAAUGGGCGGAAGCCUGAUGCAGCAACGCCGCGUGCGGGAUGACGGCCUUCGGGUUGUAAACCGAUUUCGCCUGUGACGAAGCGUGAGUGACGGUAAUGGGUAAAGAAGCACCGGCUAACUACGUG